GAUGACAAAGGUGUGAUAAAGGAGAAUAAAGAGGAAAGGAAAGGAAAAAUACUUAAUUUAUUAUAAUCUGAACUAUUAGAGGAAAUUUGUGGAUGAAAAAAUAGAAGAAAAACAUAGUCUACUUCUAAUAGUACCUGAUAAACCUUCACUCCUAUCCCUGAAAUAAUUUAUUUCUUUUUCUUUUUCUUCAUACCCCCUCUACCUCAUCAGAUUUGUCAAGAAUUCCAAAACUGAAACAGUAUGAUAUAAUAGUGGUCAUUUCUGUGAGGAGUCAAAAACAGUGAUGAGUGGUCUGGCUCCUCUUUUGUGUGCACAGUUACAAGUCAUAUACCAGAAGAACUGCUGCACCCGGCAGAAGAAAACAAUGACAUGGGACUGCAACCAGUUCCUGCUCCUGACUAAAUGUAUGGGCAUGGGCAAGCUGUUUGAUCUCUGUGAACCUCCUAAUCUUCAUUUCUAAAAUGGGUGGGGAUAAUGACACCAAACCGAUAGGAUUACUUUGAGAAUUACAAACAAUAAUAUGUGUUUUCUUAGCUGACAGUGGCAUAAGAUGAGCAUUCAAUACAUAAUAGCUCUUAUGAUUUAUGUAUUGUUAUGUCUAUUACUAAUAUUAGUAAUAAUUUUAUUUUCUUAAAAAUGAUUUGUAUAGAAUAAUGUUAGCUUAUAGGGAAAUAUGUAACAGUUGAAAUAUUACUUUUAUUUUAAACAAUGUAUUCAAUCCUCUCAACACGUUGUUGGAACAGUAGGAGAAUAACUAUCAAUUAACCAAGAAGGAAACUUUUGUUAGUGAAUGUGUCGAUCUUGAUAUGGAGUCUUAAGAUUCCAAACCAUAUUGUCUAGGCCAUUAACUGCUGAGAAUGUACUUAUCUUGGGGACUUGUUUUAUUUGAAAUAAAACCAUCACCACAUUUGUAUGCUGCAGACUUACCGUAGUAUUUUUCCUUUUAGGAUCCCUUCCCAGUUGAUCAAUUACUUAGAGGUCAUAGGAAUAUUACUCACCCUUAGAAAAGGAAGCCCAUACCUUUUAGAUGUAUUCAACAUCUUCACUAUUCUUUAGAAAAUUCUUAAGGUUCUUUUAAUAAAAAAAAAAACAAUUUGAAUGCAAAAUUGAUGAAAGUGAAUUUUGGUUUUCUAGAGAUAUGAAUUAUUUA
rnacentral:lncRNA from 1 species